CCUACGGGAGGCUGCAGUGAGGAAUAUUGGUCAAUGGGCUUACGCCUGAACCAGCAAAGUCGCGUGAGGGAUGACUGCCCUAUGGGUUGUAAACCUCUUUUGUCAGGGAGAAACGCCGGCUACGUGUCGCUGGACGGAGAGUACCUGAAGAAAAAGAAUCGGCUAACUCCGUGCCAGCCGCCGCGGUAAUACGGAGGAUGCGAGCGUUAUCCGGAUUUAUUGGGUUUAAAGGGUGCGUAGGAGUAAUGCCAAGUCAGCGGUAAAAUCGCGGGGCUCAACCUCGCGGCGCCGUUGAAACUGGCGUUCUUGAGUGGACUAGAAGUAAGCGGAAUGCGUGGUGUAGCGGUGAAAUGCAUAGAGAUCACGCAGAACUCCGAUUGCGAAGGCAGCAUACCGGCUCCUAACUGACGCUGAAGCACGAAAGCGUGGGUAUCGAACAGGAUUAGAUACCCCUGUAGUC
rnacentral:rRNA from 1 species